rnacentral:lncRNA from 1 species
UGUAUUUUGUGCUAAUCUUAAGCAGUCAUCAAUCCGUCAAAUUGUAGAUUUCAGCUCAUUUAGGAGACUGGUCUUUAAAAAGAUCAGUAGAUGCUCCUAUCGAUAUCAGGAAUUGUGUAUUUUAAGUUCCAAGGCCUGAGCCAAAUGUCAAACGCCCAUAAAGUAUUUUACCAAAAAAAAACAUUUUUGGGGAUUUUGACAUAAUUGUUACUUUUCUGAUACCCUCUACUGCAAC